UACGGGGGGGGCAAGCGUUGUUCGGAAUUACUGGGCGUAAAGGGCUCGUAGGUGGCCAACUAAGUCAUACGUGAAAUCCCUCGGCUUAACCGGGGAACUGCGUCUGAUACUGGAUGGCUUGAGGUUGGGAGAGGGAUGCGGAAUUCCAGGUGUAGCGGUGAAAUGCGUAGAUAUCAAGAGGAACACCUGCGGCGAAGGCGGGUUGCUGGGCCGACACUGACGCUGAGGCGCGAAAGCCAGGGGAGCGAACGGG
rnacentral:rRNA from 1 species